UGGGGAGUCGUCUAGUGGCAGGACGACGGACUCUGGAUCCGUUAGCGGAGGUUCGAAUCCUCCCUCCCCAACCA
rnacentral:tRNA from 1 species